rnacentral:ncRNA from 1 species
GCAAGUGCCUCCUGAAAGUGAUCGGGCAUGACAAAGGAAACCUUGUCAAUGAAUGUGGUCAAAUUCAAGGAAGCCUAAGUCUAAAAAUCUAGAUAAGGUAAUCUUGAGCCAAGCUCUAUAAACUCUGGUAGAGAAGGUGCAGAGACUAGUUAUGGGGAGCAACAGAGAUAAUUUGUUUUAAGGCAAGACCUAAAUGAUAGUCCCAUAACAUAACGGCCACCACCUAAAGGCUAAUCAACCCAGCUCAUGGUGAAGAGAUAGUCCAGAGAGUAGGGAAACCUGCAC